rnacentral:rRNA from 1 species
GAAAGAGGGUUAAACCUCCCUUGUUUCUAUGACAAUGUUGGUACCCGUGUGCAACCGGAAAGAAACCCUUCUCGCAUACACGCUUUUGUUCAAGCACAUCGUCAGAUUGAGGAUGCAACCACUCAUGGUCGGCUCCGGGAUGAUCUAGUAGAGCACCACUGGCAGUUGGAUGGGCGGCGCAUUGGCCCAUGA